rnacentral:pre_miRNA from 1 species
CAACUACUCCCUCUGUCCCAAAUUUCUUGUCUUAGAUUUGUCUAGAUACGGAUGUAUCUAAUACUAAAAUGUGACUUGAUACAUCUGUAUCUAGACAAAUCGAAGACAAGAAUUUUGGGACGGAGGGAGUACUUU